rnacentral:rRNA from 1 species
UACGUAGGGUGCAAGCGUUAAUCGGAAUUACUGGGCGUAAAGCGUGCGCAGGCGGUGAUGUAAGACAGUUGUGAAAUCCCCGGGCUCAACCUGGGAACUGCAUUUGUGACUGCAAGGCUAGAGUACGGUAGAGGGGGAUGGAAUUCCGCGUGUAGCAGUGAAAUGCGUAGAUAUGCGGAGGAACACCGAUGGCGAAGGCAAUCCCCUGGACCUGUACUGACGCUCAUGCACGAAAGCGUGGGGAGCAAACAGG